rnacentral:lncRNA from 1 species
ACACUUUGAGAUAUAUGACCUAAAUUAGGUGAGUCUUCUUAAAGGAAAUAUAAGGGCUGGUAUAUUUUGCUUCUCUUGAGGAACUGACAGCAUAUUUCUUAGGAAAAACCAAACGCAACUCAUUUAGACAAGUGAUUUCCAGACUUAACUGACCAUGAGAUUCAUCUGAUGUAAAAAGCACACACAUAUUGUGUACUAGUCUGUUUUGUGCCCUUAUAACAGAAUAAUCCAGACUAAGUAAUGUAUAAUGAACAGAAAUUUAUUUGGCUCACUUCUGGAGGCUGAGAAGUCUAAGAUUGAGGUUCCACAUCUUGUGAGGGCCUUCCUGUUGAGUCAUAACCUGGUGGAAGUCAUCAUGUGGCAAGAGAGAGGGCUACAGAGAGCAAGAGGAAACUCACUCCUGAGAUAUCAACAUUAAUCCAUUCAUGAGGCUGAAGCCCUCAUGAUCUAAACACCCCCCACUAGGCCACACCUGCCAGUAUCAUUACAUUGGGAACUAAGUUUCCAACACAAGAAUUUUGGGAGACACAGUCUAACAACAGCAGCUGUCUCCUGAAGAGUUUGAUUGAGUUGGUCCAUGUAGAAACCCAGGAAUCUCAUUACUUAAGUCCUCCUAGAAAUUCUGAGGCAUAUUCAGGUUGAGAGCUGUUAACUCUGCUGAUCUUGUUUCUUUUUUCCUGGCCAAUAUGGAACUUGGGACAAAAUUAACUCUGCUGCUUUAAUACAUAUUUAUGACUCCACAAGCCCUGUGUUGUUUCCCCUUGACCUCGCUCUUUUAGUUUCACUUGGAUACAUUCUGCUCUUGAUUUCAGAAAAAAUAAAGAGAUAAAUAAUUGCAUAAAAUUUAUGAACUUUCUAAACAGGUGGCUUGUAUGCAAUUUGUUUUAAUUACUUCUGAAUUUUUUUUUUAAAUGUACUCUAUUAAGUUCCUGUCUGAGAUGCAGGGACUUAGUAGCUGAUCUUACAUGUUUCAACAGGACUGUAAAGAAGACCUAUGUUGUGGAUAUGGCAUGUUGGCUAUAUCCCCAAGGACAGCAGUCUUUGAGAGUGAGUUCAUUCACCAAGAAAUAUAUUUGUGUUGUGUACACCUUGCAAAGAACAAUAACCUUAAUAACAUGGAAGAGAGGUAGAGUUCUCCUGACAGGAUAUUCAGUGAGAAUUGCAUUGAGGGUAAGAGCGCUUAGAGUCUUAUGGUUAGUAUGUUGCUAAGAUGCUCUGAGUGGAGGGAAAAACUUAAGUUUUGGACUUUUCUGUGGUAUCUGCGGUAUUUUGGACAAUUUUUUAAAAUGCAGGUGUUGAGAGGUUACAUGUCAUGAAAUUCUCACUUUGGAGGACUCUCAAAAGCCAGGUACCAAAAAAUUCAGGAAGUGACUGGAAGGAGUUAUGUCCCCUAAGGCUAGCCCUGGCUUCAGAAUUCUUCCUCCCUUGAUCUUCAAACACAAGCUCCUUCUAAUUAGCAUGUUUACAAGACAUAAGGAAGAACAGAACUGGUUAUCAAGAAUUCACCUUGAUGUAGGAUUAUCUAACCCACAAGGGUGGCUGGUGUUUUUUUGUUGUUUUGUUUUUUGUUUUCUAUCUUAAAAGGCAUUGGAAGUAGGAGGUAAGAUGGGGGUGGCUAGGACAUUUUCAAGUCCUGAAAGAAGCUGUGUGGCAAGUCAACUGGGGCAAUGCGAGCUAUUCUGGAAUCACCAAUCUUCAACUGGACAUCAGAGGAUGGCUACUGAAUUUGAAUGAUGACUCAAGUCUUCUGCAGUCCAUUAGCUAUAAGACCCUCAGGCAGGUGUCUUCUGAAAUCCUUGGUGUUUUCCUUGUAUCCUGAGAUUCCCUUGUCAGGUAGCUUUCUUCUCUCCACAUUCCUGCCUUCUAAUGUUUGUUUCUAUAAAUUCUCAGAGUCUUAUCUUCUUAAGGUGUAGACUCUGAUCAGCAGCUUUGGCAUCAGCUGGGAAAUUGUUAGACAUGCA